CAGGGGUAGAGUUUGGCUUUCAAAUGACCAGCAAGUCAACAUUGGCAGCAGCUCAGCCACCAGAGCAAUAUCCAGGAAGCUACUGGAAUCACAGAGGAUUUUGAAACACAUGUGUCUGGAUUUCAGUGUUAUUCCUGAAUAAGUCUGUAGUCUUCCCUCAACACCUCCUUCUGUGAGAAAUGGAAACUCGGGCAACACAAGGCAAGGAGGGACAACUGGACACACC
rnacentral:lncRNA from 1 species